AGUUCAGAGGACAAAGGUCUAUCGAUGUCCAUACCUUCCCCCAGUGAGGACACCCGGGGAAGACCUGCCUGCUUCUGUUGUGUACAGGACUAAGCCAAUGGCACAGAGUUAUCCAUGAAAUCAGGUAGAAGGUACAGGUCUUUUCGGAUGCAAAGCCCACAAUUCCACACUUCUCAAACUCCACCCUCUGCUGCCUCCUAGAUCCUGCAUGAGAAGCUGCAGAUACCAGGGUCGUAACAUAAGCUGUACUAUAAGAGACUGAGGUCAGAUCUCUUGAGGACCCUAUGAGGAAAGAUUUAACAUGAAGGACACCAGUUGAGUGGAGAAAACCACUGUUGAGAAGGAGGAUGUGACAAUGUCAGGAAGAUGGGGGUAAUAAUCAAGGAGGGAAGAGCAUGUGGCAGAGAAAACAAAAAUAAUCGUUAAUGCUUGGUGUCUUGAAACAUUGUUUAAACUCAUUUCUACUUCAAGUUGACAGUGGUUUAUUGGGCUCAUCCCCUUGAUUCUUGUUAUUUAAUGUAUUAAAGAAACCCAUAUAUUACAACAUCACACACUUCAAUAUUUUCACAACUGUAUUUCAACAUAGCUAGUUUCAUUUGUGAUCCCUUUAUGCAAAGGAAAAUAUUUUGAGAAGGAAUCACGGCACAAAAAAGGUCAAGGGCCCAGACCAGGAGCGGUCCCUAUUGACGCGUGGCCCAGAGUGAGGACGGCCGCCCAGCUGCGCACAGGCUGCCACAGGAGGAACCAGGUCAGAAUCCCACCAGGCACUGCUCCUGCUCCAGGAAACCUUGGGGUAGGACGCAGGGGCGAGGCAUGACCGCGACGAGUCACGGAGAUCUUUAGCUCGAUGGAGUGGCCUUGGGCCUCCGCUGCCCGUUGUGAAAAAGGAGAAGAUCACCAGCCUCUUAGCUUCAAUCACAUGAGGAUGGAGCCCCAAGCUCACUGUGGAAUAAAGGGAAGGGAGCACUCACCUUUUGUACUUAGGGAGUUUUUUCAGCC